rnacentral:rRNA from 1 species
CCUACGGGGGCUGCAGUAACGAAUAUUGGGCAAUGGGCGCAAGCCUGACCCAGCGAUGCCGCGUAUAGGAUGAAGUUCUUCGGAAUGUAAACUAUUGUCAGGGGUUAGAAAGCCGCAAGGUUGAUCAGCCCCGGAGGAAGUCACGACUAACUUCGUGCCAGCAGUCGCGGUAAUACGAAGGUGACAAGCGUUAUUCGAAAUCACUGGGCUUAAAGGGUGCGCAGGCGGAAACAUAAGUGUCUUGUGAAAACCCCCGGCUUAACCGGGGAAUUGCUCGGCAUACUGUGUUUCUUGAGGCAAGCAGGGGUGGGUGGAACUCUUGGUGGAGCGGUGGAAUGCGUAGAUAUCAAGAGGAACGCCGAAGGUGAAGACAGCACACUGGGCUUGUCCUGACGCUCAGGCACGAAAGCGUGGGGAGCAAACA